UACGAAGGGGGCUAGCGUUGCUCGGAAUCACUGGGCGUAAAGGGUGCGUAGGCGGGUCUUUAAGUCAGGGGUGAAAUCCUGGAGCCCAACUCCAGAACUGCCUUCGAUACUGAGAGUCUCGAGUCCGGGAGAGGUGAGUGGAACUGCGAGUGUAGAGGUGAAAUUCGUAGAUAUUCGCAAGAACACCAGUGGCGAAGGCGGCUCACUGGCCCGGUACUGACGCUGAGGUGCGAAAGCGUGGGGAGCAAACAGG
rnacentral:rRNA from 1 species